rnacentral:rRNA from 1 species
AUACGGAGGGUGCAAGCGUUGUCCGGAUUUAUUGGGUUUAAAGGGUGCGUAGGUGGUUUUUUAAGUCAGUGGUGAAAGCCUACAGCUUAACUGUAGAGGUGCCAUUGAAACUGGGGAACUUGAGUAUGGACGAGGUAGGCGGAAUUUGUGGUGUAGCGGUGAAAUGCAUAGAUACCACAAAGAACACCGAUAGCGAAGGCAGCUUACUAGGCCAUAACUGACACUGAGGCACGAAAGUGUGGGGAGCGAACAGGAUUAGAAACCCUAGUAGUCC